AUUGAACGCUGGCGGCAGGCCUAACACAUGCAAGUCGAGCGAGCGGCGGACGGGUGAGUAAUGUCUGGGCAACUGCCUGAUGGAGGGGGAUAACUACUGGAAACGGUAGCUAAUACCGCAUACCAUCAGAUGUGCCCAGAUGGGAUUAGCUAGUAGGUGGGGUAAAGGCUCACCUAGGCGACGAUCCCUAGCUGGUCGGAGAGGAGAAACAGCCACACUGGAAUUGAGACACGGUCCAUACUCCUACGUGAGGAAGCAGGGGGGAAGAUUGGAAAAUGGGCGCAAGCCUGAUGCAGCCAUGCCGCGUGUAUGAAGAAGGCCUUCGGGUUGUAAAGUACUGUCAGCGGGGAGGCGUUACCCGCAGAAGAAGCACCGGCUAACUCCGUGCCAGCAGCCGCGGUAAUUC
rnacentral:rRNA from 1 species